ACGGAAGGCAGCAGUAGGGAAUAUUGCACAAUGGGGGGAACCCUGAUGCAGCAACGCCACGUGUGGGAAGAAGCAUUUCGGUGUGUAAACCACUGUCGUGAGGGAAUAAUGCUUAAUUUCGGUUAAGUUGAAUGUACCUCGAAAGGAAGCACCGGCAAACUUCGUGCCAGCAGCCGCGGUAAUACGAGGGGUGCAAGCGUUGUUCGGAAUCACUGGGCGUAAAGGGAGCGCAGGCGGAGAUGCAAGCAGUCUGUACAAUACCGGGGCCCAACCCCGGACCUGCAGACUGGACUGUUUCUCUUGGAUAGUUCAGGGGCAAGCGGAAUUCCUGGUGUAGCGGUGGAAUGCGUAGAGAUCAGGAAGAACACCGAUGGCGAAGGCAGCUUGCUGGGGACUUAUCGACGCUCAUGCUCGAAAGCGUGGGGAGCAAACAGGAUUAGAUACCCUGGUA
rnacentral:rRNA from 1 species